rnacentral:lncRNA from 1 species
AUGUCCAUAAUCCUCAACCCACAACGUCCUGUUCAAGGUCAGGACCUCACCCUGACCCCACAAAAUGCCCCAAAGCAAUUAAGCUUCUGCAAGUGGGUCAUACACCCCAGGGGCGGGCAAGAAAAAGUUCUCGAAUACGACCCAGAGGACACAGACCAGCAAAGCUUGUCCCAAGGCAGAACGACUUUGAGGCAGGAUUGCACCUUGCACAUCAGGCAGCUUGAUGUUUCUGACACCGGCAACUACACGGUGAAGAUCGAAUCUCUUCUGAACCAGCAGCAACAACCAGGGCAGCAGCCUUUCCCCCAGGAACCUGAAAUUGGAGACUUUCAGGUGCACAAGGGACAGAUCUAUCUUGACGUCCUCCGACAAUCUGGUCAUGACCCCCAAAAAGGUCAUGGCUCCCAAAAAGGUCGUGCCUCUGCCUCUUUGACCUACAGCGCAGCCGUCGUCGCUGGGACCUUGCUUGGAUCGCUCGCCUGGGCAGACGCCCUGAUGCCCGUCUUCUCCGGACUAUUCUGCUCCCUCACUUCCCUGAGGCGCAAAGUCAUCCCGUGAAUGAUGAGUUUGGCGGAAAGUCCCUAACUUUUGCAAGCCUCGCCCUCUGGGCAACAGAUUCCCGAUAACCAGGAAGGUCUCUCUACCUCUUUCUAUGCAGUGCCAAGCCAUGGAUGAAGAAAUAUCCUGGAUCCUGUGCAGUAUUACAUAUAAAAACUUUAUUUCAUUUCUGUUAAUACAAAAUAAUAAUAAUGUAAAGGUUUCUAAAACUUCUAUCCAGCAUUCGAUCAACUCAGCGUACACUCAUUGGAAUUAAUAGACAUGAUGAACUGAGGCCCAUUAAUUUCACUGGGUCUACUCUGAUGUAGACAGUGCACAAGAUGUGCAACUUAUAGAAACUCAGAAAAGUAUAUCAAACCUACGCAGAUUGUUUUCCCAUAAUUAUCAGAUGUUUCCCAGUUUUGAACAAACUUCUUGUAAGCCUGUUGGUGCUUUUCCUGAUACUUUUUUCAAAUAAAGUGUUGCUUUUUUUCCUGCCUUAAACCUACAAAUUUUCAUUUCAGCUGCAUGAUCUGGCCCUUUGCUA